AUACGGAAGGUGCAAGCGUUAAUCGGAAUCACUGGGCGCAAAGCGCUCGUAGGUGGCUUUGUAAGUCAGGUGUGAAAGCCCACGGCUCAACCGUGGAAUUGCACUUGAUACUGCAUUGCUUGAGUUCGGGAGAGGGUAGUGGAAUUCCAGGUGUAGGAGUGAAAUCCGUAGAGAUCUGGAGGAACACCAGUGGCGAAGGCGACUUUCUGGUCUGUAACUGACACUGAGGCGCGAAAGCGUGGGGAGC
rnacentral:rRNA from 1 species